ACUCUUCUAUUUAAAUUAUUAUUUAAGUUUACUGAGUGACGUAAAGUGACGUCCCCUCGUUGCUCUAACCGACGUUCAGAAGAAUCCAUUCAACAUGGCGGAUAAUCGCAAGCGACCGAGCAAACUUAAUGGAACAACUUGCUGAGCUGGAUGCUGAAUACAAAAGUGAGCCUCAAAACUUAAGGUUUGUGCUGAGCUUCACCAUAUCAGAGAAAGUGGCGCACACCAGCAAGAUUUCAC